CUUACAUUCAGUGGCAAGGUUAACCGAAUAGGGGAGCCGUAGAGAAAUCGAGUCCGAAUAGGGCGUCCAGUCGCUGGGUGUAGACCCGAAACCAAGUGAUCUAUCCAUGGCCAGGAUGAAGGUGCCGUAACAGGUACUGGAGGUCCGAACCGACUAGUGUUGCAAAACUAGCGGAUGAGCUGUGGAUAGGGGUGAAAGGCUAAACAAACUUGGAAAUAGCUGGUUCUCUCCGAAAACUAUUUAGGUAGUGCCUCAAGUAUUACCUGCGGGGGUAGAGCACUGUUUAGGCUAGGGGGUCAUGGCGACUUACCAAACCUAUGCAAACUCCGAAUACCGCAGAGUACAGCUUGGGAGACAGAGCACCGGGUGCUAACGUCCGGACUCAAGAGGGAAACAACCCAGACCGCCAGCUAAGGUCCCUAAAAUUGGCUAAGUGGGAAACGAAGUGGGAAGGCUAAAACAGUCAGGAUGUUGGCUUAGAAGCAGCCAUCAUUUAAAGAAAGCGUAAUAGCUCACUGAUCGAGUCGUCCUGCGCGGAAGAUGUAACGGGGCUAAGCCAGUUACCGAAGCUGCGGAUUUGCAAUUUAUUGCAAGUGGUAGGAGAGCGUUCUGUAAGCCUGUGAAGGUGCCUGGUAACGGGUGCUGGAGGUAUCAGAAGUGCGAAUGCUGACAUGAGUAGCGUUAAAGGGGGUGAAAAGCCCCCUCGCCGUAAGCGCAAGGUUUCCUACGCAACGUUCAUCGGCGUAGGGUGAGUCGGCCCCUAAGGCGAGGCAGAGAUGCGUAGCUGAUGGGAAACAGGUCAAUAUUCCUGUACCGAUGUGUAGUGCGAUGUGGGGACGGAGAAGGUUAGCUCAGCCAACUGUUGGAUAUGUUGGUUCAAGCCUGUAGUCGUGCCUGGUAGGCAAAUCCGCCGGGCUUAGAUGAGGGGUGAUAACGAGUCUGCUUGCAGACGAAGUGAGUGAUACCCUGCUUCCAGGAAAAGCCACUAAGCUUCAGCUACACACGACCGUACCGCAAACCGACACUGGUGCGCGAGAUGAGUAUUCUAAGGCGCUUGAGAGAACUCUGGAGAAGGAACUCGGCAAAUUGAUACCGUAACUUCGGGAGAAGGUAUGCCGCAAGUAGGUGAACUUGAACAAAGGGAGCCCAAAGCGGUUGCAAAAAAUCGGUGGCUGCGACUGUUUAAUAAAAACACAGCACUCUGCAAACACGAAAGUGGACGUAUAGGGUGUGACGCCUGCCCGGUGCUGGAAGAUUAAAUGAUGGGGUGCAAGCUCUUGAUUGAAGUCCCAGUAAACGGCGGCCGUAACUAUAACGGUCCUAAGGUAGCGAAAUUCCUUGUCGGGUAAGUUCCGACCUGCACGAAUGGCGUAACGAUGGCCACACUGUCUCCUCCAGAGACUCAGCGAAGUUGAAAUGUUUGUGAUGAUGCAAUCUCCCCGCGGAAAGACGGAAAGACCCCAUGAACCUUUACUGUAGCUUUGUAUUGGAUUUUGAACGGAUCUGUGUAGGAUAGGUGGGA
rnacentral:rRNA from 1 species